rnacentral:rRNA from 1 species
CUACGGGAGGCUCCAGUAAGGAAUAUUGGGCAAUGGACGCAAGUCUGACCCAGCCAUGCCGCGUGCAGGAAGACAGCCUUAUGGGUUGUAAACUGCUUUUAUACGGGAAAAAACCCCUGAACGUGUUCAGGGCUGAUGGUACCGUAAGAAUAAGGAUCGGCUAACUCCGUGCCAGCAGCCGCGGUAAUACGGAGGAUCCAAGCGUUAUCCGGAUUUAUUGGGUUUAAAGGGUGCGUAGGCGGGAUGAUUAGUCAGUGGUGAAAUCCUACAGCUUAACUGUAGAACUGCCAUUGAAACUGUCAUUCUUGAGUACAGUUGAAGUGGGUGGAAUGUGUCAUGUAGCGGUGAAAUGCAUAGAUAUGACACAGAACGCCAAUAGCGAAGGCAACUCACUAAGUUGUAACUGACGCUGAGGCACGAAAGCGUGGGGAGCGAACAGGAUUAGAUACCCCCGUAGUC